UGAGAAAAUGAAACCUAGGCUGAUUUCUGAAAGCAGCGGAGCAGUCAGCCAGGCUAAGAGCCAGGAAGGCUAAGGGGAGCCGUGUGCGAGGUCCAGUGCGGGGCAGGCCCACUGUCUGCUAUUUACCAAAGUGAGAGAAAGGCAUUGUGCUGUGCCAUUAGGAGCUGGGAGCAGGACAGGGAAAAGUUUCCUUUGCCUGUGGUCAACCAUGGUCCAGAAACAGACCAUCCUCCUGACUUAGCAUCAAGAAGGUCAAAAAGAAACCUAAUGUCAAGUCACAGCGCCUACAUUAUUCACCUUCACCGCAUCUCAUCACCUGGCAUUUUAUCAUCUAGCGUCAUCACAAGUUGAAGGUGUGGUGUUCAUGAAAGACAAGGAAAGCCUGAGAAACCAGCACAGACUGAAGACUGUGGAGCAACGAUGACUAAGUGUGGUCUCCUGAACUGGACACUACACAGAAUAAGGACAUCGGUGGGGAAACUGGUCAAAUGAAAGAAGACAUAUUUAAUGUUUCUUGUAUGCAGGAUGUCUAUACAUGUACAGAACAGACUUAUUUUUGAACAUAAACCUUUUUUUUUUGUUUAAUCAGUUUCUGCUACAGUUGUAUGAAAAUUAUCCACUCUUACUGUGGGAUUAUAAAUUCUGUUAAUAAAUCUUUGUUUUUAUUUAUGGAUUUUGAGGCUGUGUGCUUAGGGACAUGCAAGCCCAUAUUUUUUCUGUGUCAUGGAGGAUUCUGUGUUACUUUGAUCCCCAUUAAUGCCUUUUGCCUUUAAUAUUAUUUUGUCUAAUUUUCAUAUUACUAGAUUAUCUUUCUUUUAAUCAUUAUUUGCAAAGUAUAGUUUUCCCAUUUGUUCAUUUUCACCUUUUCUGUAUGUUUUUGUUCUAUGCAUAUUUCUUGCAAGGAACUUAUAGUUAGAUUAGAAAAUAUAGUCACAGUUUUUAUCUUUUCAUACAAAAAUUUAAUCCAUUAAUAUUUAUUCUAAUUACUGAUAUAUCUUAGGCUUUAUAAAAAAACAUUAAUUUUGUGUUGAUUAAGCAUGUCAAUGUUAAGUAUCUCUUCUCCCUUUCUUCUGAGUGAAUGGACUUCUUGCAGGGCACAAGGCUGACUGGAAUAAAUAUUAUGUGUCUUAGUCAUUCUGGAGAUAAGUGUGAGUAUGUGACUAAAUUUUGGCCAUGGGAUAUAAUGUAUAUCCAGUCUCCCUUAGAAUACAGUUGGGGAUGCCCUUUCUUCUUCUCUGUCCCUUCCAUCAUCACUGUGCCCAGUAUAUGGAUGCCUCCUUGGACCAUGAGGAUGAAGACCAUACCCUAGAGAUGGCUGAAUGGGGAGUUGGAUAGUCUCUCAGGAUAGCAUCGAAUCGUGUGACCAUACCAGUUCUGGACUUUUUUGGACAUUUAUGUGAUUAACAUGAGCACAAAAUAAACACCUUCCUUAUGUAAAUCA